UCGGGAAUUUUGGGCAAUGGGCGAAAGCCUGACCCAGCAACGCCGCGUGAAGGAUGAAGUAUUUCGGUAUGUAAACUUCGAAAGAAUAGGAAGAAUAAAUGACGGUACUAUUUAUAAGGUCCGGCUAACUACGUGCCAGCAGCCGCGGUAAUACGUAGGCAGCGAACGUUGUUCGGAGUUACUGGGCGUAAAGAGUGCGUAGGCGGUUCGCUAAGUCUGGUGUGAAAUCUCCCGGCUUAACUGGGAGGGUGCGCUAGAUACUGGCGGGCUUGAGUAUGGGAGAGGAAAGCGGAAUUCCUGGUGUAGCGGUGAAAUGCGUAGAUAUCAGGAGGAACACCGGUGGUGUAGACGGCUUUCUGGACCAUUACUGACGCUGAGGCACGAAAGCGUGGGGAGCAAACAGGAUUAGAUACCCCCGUAGUCCCUGAGCGGGCUGGCAAGGCGCAU
rnacentral:rRNA from 1 species